GGGGAAGGAGGUCCUGGGAUCUGGACCCCUCCAGACUCCGAGUUUAAACUAUGAAGUAGUUUUUCAUUGUAAAUUUAAAAAAAAACAACCUAAAAUAACUGUCAAAACAAUACAAAUUAUAAUCCUUUAUUUAUAUUAUGUAGGUAAACAUAUUAUAUAUUAAUUAUACCGGCCACAUAGGGUGACCUUUGUCAUUUAUUGUUAUCGUCGUGAUGUUCGCUGAAACAAUACUGACAUUGAAUAUUAAAAACAAAACCAGACAAAUAUUAGGAUUAAAUUUUUCUCGAUGAAAUUUGGUUUAUCGUCGGUUAUAAUUAGUAACAUAUCUGUUAUGUACAGUGUGUGUGAAGAUCCACUGCGGCGUUUUUUAAAAAAAUGUAGAUUUGCGGCGUAAAAUUCACAGAUAAUAAAUAAGCUAUUCAUUAUUU